rnacentral:rRNA from 1 species
CGUAGGUGGCAAGCGUUGUCCGGAUUUAUUGGGUUUAAAGGGUGCGUAGGCGGUCAAAUAAGUCAGUUGUGAAAUACGGCAGCUCAACUGUCGAGGUGCAAUUGAUACUGUUUGACUUGAGUACUGUUGAGGUAGGCGGAAUGGACGGUGUAGCGGUGAAAUGCUUAGAGAUCGUCCAGAACACCGAUAGCGAAGGCAGCUUACUAAAGAGUAACUGACGCUGAGGCACGAAAGUGUGGGGAUCAAACAGGAUUAGAUACCCUGGUAGUCCACACUGUAAACGAUGAUUACUCGAUGUGUGCGAUACACAGCACGCGUCUUAAGCAAAAGCGAUAAGAAUCCACCUGGGGAUACGCCGCAACGGUG